GCUCAGAUGACGGAAUGGCAGACGUAGAAGACUCAAAAUCUUCCGAAGGAAACUUCGUAUGGGUUCAAGUCCCUUUCUGAGCACCA
rnacentral:tRNA from 1 species